AAUAUUCACAGGAAAGAUUUUGUUUAGACAUAGGCUUUCAUUUCUCUUGAAUGUAUACCUAGGAGUAGCAUUGCUAGGUCAUAGUAUUGAGACGGAGUUUUGCUCUGUCGCCGAGGCUGGAGUGCAGUGGUGCAAUCUCAGCUCACUGCAGCCUCCAAGCCCCAGGUUCAAGUGAUUCUCCUGCCUCAGCCCCCAGAGUAGCUGGGAUUACAGGCGCCUGCCACCUUGCCCGGCUAAUUUUUUGUAUUUUUAGUAGAGACAGUGGUUCACCAUUUUGGUCAGGCUGGUCUCAAACUCCUGAUCUCAGGUGAUCCACCUGCCUGG
rnacentral:lncRNA from 1 species